rnacentral:rRNA from 1 species
AUUGAACGCUGGCGGCAGGCCUAACACAUGCAAGUCGAACGGUAACAGGAAGAAUCUUGCUUCUUUGCUGACGAGUGGCGGACGGGUGAGUAAUGUCUGGGAAACUGCCUGAUGGAGGGGGAUAACUACUGGAAACGGUAGCUAAUACCGCAUAACGUCGCAAGACCAAAGAGGGGGACCUUCGGGCCUCUUGCCAUCGGAUGUGCCCAGAUGGGAUUAGCUGGUAGGUGGGGUAACGGCUCACCUAGGCGACGAUCCCUAGCUGGUCUGAGAGGAUGACCAGCCACACUGGAACUGAGACACGGUCCAGACUCCUACGGGAGGCAGCAGUGGGGAAUAUUGCACAAUGGGCGCAAGCCUGAUGCAGCGCUGCCGCGUGUAUGAAGAAGGCCUUCGGGUUGUAAAGUACUUUCAGCGGGGAGGAAGGGAGUAAAGUUAAUACCUUUGCUCAUUGACGUUACCCGCAGAAGAAGCACCGGCUAACUCCGUG